rnacentral:rRNA from 1 species
GAUGAACGCUGGCGGCGUGCCUAAUACAUGCAAGUCGAGCGAACAGACGAGGAGCUUGCUCCUCUGACGUUAGCGGCGGACGGGUGAGUAACACGUGAAUAACCUACCUAUAAGACUGGGAUAACUUCGGGAAACCGGAGCUAAUACCGGAUAAUAUAUUGAACCGCAUGGUUCAAUAGUGAAAGACGGUUUUGCUGUCACUUAUAGAUGGAUCCGCGCCGCAUUAGCUAGUUGGUAAGGUAACGGCUUACCAAGGCAACGAUGCGUAGCCGACCUGAGAGGGUGAUCGGCCACACUGGAACUGAGACACGGUCCAGACUCCUACGGGAGGCAGCAGUAGGGAAUCUUCCGCAAUGGGCGAAAGCUUGACGGAGCAACGCCGCGUGAGUGAUGAAGGUCUUCGGAUCGUAAAACUCUGUUAUUAGGGAAGAACAAAUGUGUAAGUAACUAUGCACGUCUUGACGGUACCUAAUCAGAAAGCCACGGCUAACUACGUG